rnacentral:rRNA from 1 species
UACACGACCGUACCGCAAACCGACACUGGUGCGCGAGAUGAGUAUUCUAAGGCGCUUGAGAGAACUCAGGAGAAGGAACUCGGCAAAUUGACACCGUAACUUCGGAAGAAGGUGUGCCUUUAGUAGGUGAAGUCCCUCGCGGAUGGAGCCCAAUGAGGUUGCAAAAAAUCGGUGGCUGCGACUGUUUAUUAAAAACACAGCACUCUGCAAACACGAAAGUGGACGUAUAGGGUGUGACGCCUGCCCGGUGCUGGAAGAUUAAAUGAUGGGGUGCAAGCUCUUGAUUGAAGUCCCAGUAAACGGCGGCCGUAACGAUAACGGUCCUAAGGUAGCGAAAUUCCUUGUCGGGUAAGUUCCGACCUGCACGAAUGGCGUAACGAUGGCCACACUGUCUCCUCCUGAGACUCAGCGAAGUUGAAAUGUUUGUGAUGAUGCAAUCUCCCCGCGGAAAGACGGAAAGACCCCAUGAACCUUUACUGUAGCUUUGUAUUGGACUUUGAACAGAUCUGUGUAGGAUAGGUGGAGGCUUUGAAGCAGGGUCGCUAGAUCUUGUGGAGCCAACGUUGAAAUACCACCCUGGUGUGUUUGAGGUUCUAACCUAGGCCCGUAAUCCGGGUUGGGGACAGUGCAUGGUAGGCAGUUUGACUGGGGCGGUCUCCUCCCAAAGUGUAACGGAGGAGUUCGAAGGUACGCUAGUUACGGUCGGACAUCGUGACGAUAGUGCAAUGCAUAAGCGUGCUUAACUGCGAGACUGACAAGUCGAGCAGAUGCGAAAGCAGGACAUAGUGAUCCGGUGGUUCUGUAUGGAAGGGCCAUCGCUCAACGGAUAAAAGGUACUCUGGGGAUAACAGGCUGAUACCGCCCAAGAGUUCAUAUCGACGGCGGUGUUUGGCACCUCGAUGUCGGCUCAUCUCAUCCUGGGGCUGUAGCCGGUCCCAAGGGUAUGGCUGUUCGCCAUUUAAAGAGGUACGUGAGCUGGGUUUAAAACGUCGUGAGACAGUUUGGUCCCUAUCUUCCGUGGGCGCUGCAGAUUUGAGGAAGCCUGCUCCUAGUACGAGAGGACCGGAGUGGACGCACCUCUGGUGUAUCGGUUGUCACGCCAGUGGCAUUGCCGAGUAGCUAUGUGCGGAAGAGAUAACCGCUGAAAGCAUCUAAGCGGGAAACUCGUUUCAAGAUGAGAUCUGCCGGGGCCUUGAGCCCCCUGAAGAGUCGUUCAAGACCAGGACGUUGAUAGGUCGGGUGUGGAAGCGCAGUAAUGCGUUAAGCUAACCGAUACUAAUUGCUCGUGCGGCUUGACCAA